rnacentral:rRNA from 1 species
CGCCAGACUCCUACGGGAGGCAGCAGUGGGGAAUAUUGGGCAAUGGGCGCAAGCCUGACCCAGCAACGCCGCGUGAGGGAAGACGGUUUUCGGAUUGUAAACCUCUGUCCUCUGUGAAGAUGAUGACGGUAGCAGAGGAGGAAGCUCCGGCUAACUACGUGCCAGCAGCCGCGGUAAUACGUAGGGAGCGAGCGUUGUCCGGAUUUACUGGGUGUAAAGGGUGCGUAGGCGGCUAUGCAAGUCAGUAGUGAAAUCCAUGGGCUUAACCCAUGAACUGCUAUUGAAACUGCACAGCUUGAGUGAAGUAGAGGUAGGCGGAAUUCCCGGUGUAGCGGUGAAAUGCGUAGAGAUCGGGAGGAACACCAGUGGCGAAGGCGGCCUACUGGGCUUUAACUGACG